GGGCGCAGCCUGAUCCAGCCAUACCGCGUGGGUGAAGAAGGCCUUCGGGUUGUAAAGCCCUUUUGUUGGGAAAGAAAUCCAGCUGGCUAAUACCCGGUUGGGAUGACGGUACCCAAAGAAUAAGCACCGGCUAACUUCGUGCCAGCAGCCGCGGUAAUACGA
rnacentral:rRNA from 1 species